AUUGACCGCUGUCGGAAUGCUUUACCCAUGCAAGUCGCCCGGCAGCACUGACUUCGGUCUGGUGGCGCGUGGCGACCGGUUGAGUAAUGUAUCGUCACGUGCCCAGUCGUGGGGGAUCCCGUCUGGAAAAUUCCUCUCAUACCGCCUACGAUCUAUGGAUGAACGCGGGGGAUCGCCCUAACGCGCGCGAUUGGAGCGGACGAUAUCAGAUUAGGUAGGUGGUGGGGUAAAGGCCCACCAAGCCAACGAUCUGUAGCUGGUCUGAGAGGACGACCAGCCACACUAGAACUGAGACACGGGACAGACUCCUACGGGAGGCAGCAGUGGGGAAGGGGGGACAAUGGGCGAAAGCCGGAGCCAGCCAUGCCGCGUGCAGGAUGAAGGCCCUCGGGUUGUAAACUGCUUUUGGACAGAACGAAAAGGUGGCGACGAAUACGAGGAGCGCAUGACGGGACUGUAAGAAUAAGCACCGGCUAACUACGUGCCAGCCGCCGCAGUAA
rnacentral:rRNA from 1 species